GUCUUUGUGGUGUAGUGGUUAUCACGUGUCCUUCACACCUUUAGGUUAUACGGACAAGGCCCUCGGUUCGACCCCGAGCAAGGACA